rnacentral:rRNA from 1 species
GUCGAGAAUCUUUCACAAUGGGGGCAACCCUGAUGGAGCGACGCCGCGUGGAGGAUAAGGUCUUCGGAUUGUAAACUCCUGUCAUGCGUGAACAAGGUUGCUUGGUUAAUACCUGGGCAAAUUGAUGGUAACGCAAGAGGAAGAGACGGCUAACUCUGUGCCAGCAGCCGCGGUAAUACAGAGGUCUCAAGCGUUGUUCGGAAUCACUGGGCGUAAAGGGUGCGUAGGUGGCGUGGCAAGUCAGAUGUGAAAGCCCGGGGCUCAACCUCGGAACUGCAUCAGAUACUGCCAUGCUAGAGUACUGGAGGGGUGACUAGAAUUCUCGGUGUAGCAGUGAAAUGCGUAGAUAUCGAGAGGAAUACCAAAGGCGUAGGCAGGUCACUGGACAGUUACUGACACUGAGGCACGAAGGCCAGGGGAGCGAACGGGAUUAGAUACCCCUGUAGUCC